GUAAGGAAUAUUGGUCAAUGGGCGCAAGCCUGAACCAGCCAUGCCGCGUGCAGGAAGACGGCCCUAUGGGUUGUAAACUGCUUUUAUCAGGGAAUAAACCCCCGCUCGUGAGCGGGGCUGAAGGUACCUGAAGAAUAAGCAUCGGCUAACUCCGUGCCAGCAGCCGCGGUAAUACGGAGGAUGCAAGCGUUAUCCGGAUUCAUUGGGUUUAAAGGGUGCGCAGGCGGAUUGGUAAGUCAGGGGUGAAAUCCCACAGCUCAACUGUGGAACUGCCUUUGAUACUGUCAGUCUAGAGUAUAGUUGAAGUUGGCGGAAUGUGUCAUGUAGCGGUGAAAUGCUCAGAUAUGACACAGAACACCGAUCGCGAAGGCAGCUAGCUAAGCUAUAACUGACGCUCAUGCACGAAAGCGUGGGGAUCAAACAGGAUUAGAUACCCUGGUAGUCC
rnacentral:rRNA from 1 species